rnacentral:lncRNA from 1 species
ACCAGGCCGGAAUAGAACAACCAACAAAGCACAAAGACCUAUGAAAAGAUCGGGCAUUCCUAGCUAAUGAAUCAGCAAUUCCAUUUUGCACUCUUGGGAAGUAUUCGAUCUUGAAGUCCGGAUAACACAUCUUCAGUAGUUGAAUGACCUCUAGCUCGGUUGCGAACUUUGGCCAUGCUUGUGGAUCCACUACCAUUGCUAUCAGAUCCUUACAAUCUGUCCCAAAUCUCUGACAUGUCGAGUGCUGUAGCAUGCUCUCCAUUGCCCAUUUUAGAGCUUCCAAUUCAGAGUGUAGUGAUGUCUCUCGCCUCCUUAGAUUCCUCAUCCCCAUUAAUUGGAUCUUCCCUCUCUCAUC